rnacentral:rRNA from 1 species
ACAGUGGACGCGAGCAUCUUUGUUGUAAGUGUUUAAGAGCGUACGGUGGAUGCCUUGGCACCAGGAGCCGAUGAAGGACGUAGGAGGCUGCGAUAAGCCUCGGGGAGCUGUCAACCGAGCUGAGAUCCGAGGAUGUCCGAAUGGGGAAACCCAGCCACAGUGAUGUGUGGUUACCCGCGCCUGAAUAUAUAGGGCGUGAGGAGGGAACGUGGGGAAGUGAAACAUCUCAGUACCCACAGGAAGAGAAAACAACAUGUGAUUCCGUGAGUAGUGGCGAGCGAAAGCGGAAGAGGCUAAACCAUGGGUGUGUGAUAGCCGGCGGGCGUUGCAUUCGUGGGGUUGUGGGAUCCGUCUUGUCAAUUCUGCCGGAUUGGCCGACAGUGAGAAAUCAUCGUGUUAGUCGAAGUGGUCUGGAACGGCCUGUCGUAGAGGGUGAGAGUCCCGUAGACGAAAACAUGGUGACUGUCGUGACGGACACCCGAGUAGCAGCGGGCCCGUGAAAUCUGCUGUGAAUCUGUCGGGACCACCCGAUAAGCCUGAAUACUCCCUGGUGACCGAUAGCGGACUAGUACCGUGAGGGAAAGGUGAAAAGUACCCCGGGAGGGGAGUGAAAUAGUACCUGAAACCGUGCGCUUACAAUCCGUCAGAGCCUGCGCCACUUCGGUGGGUGGGUGAUGGCGUGCCUUUUGAAGAAUGAGCCUGCGAGUUAGCGGCAUGUCGCGAGGUUACCCGUGUGGGGUAGCCGUAGCGAAAGCGAGUCCGAAUAGGGCGUUUGUAGUGGCAUGUUCUAGACCCGAAGCGGAGUGAUCUACCCAUGGCCAGGGUGAAGCGACGGUAAGACGUCGUGGAGGCCCGAACCCACUUAGGUUGAAAACUGAGGGGAUGAGCUGUGGGUAGGGGUGAAAGGCCAAUCAAACUCCGUGAUAGCUGGUUCUCCCCGAAAUGCAUUUAGGUGCAGCGUCGCGUGUUUCACUCUGGAGGUAGAGCUACUGGAUGGCCGAUGGGCCCCACAAGGUUACUGACGUCAGCCAAACUCCGAAUGCCAGAGUGUGAGAGCGCGGCAGUGAGACUGCGGGGGAUAAGCUUCGUAGUCGAGAGGGAAACAGCCCAGAUCGCCGGCUAAGGCCCCUAAGCGUGUACUAAGUGGAAAAGGAUGUGGGGUCGCGAAGACAACCAGGAGGUUGGCUUAGAAGCAGCCACCCUUGAAAGAGUGCGUAAUAGCUCACUGGUCAAGUGAUCCUGCGCCGACAAUGUAGCGGGGCUCAAGUACACCGCCGAAGCCGCGGCAUUCACAUAACACCCAUGCGGGUCUACGGGCCUGUGUGCAGUGGUGUGGAUGGGUAGGGGAGCGUCGUGCAGCCAUGGAAGCGCCGGAGUGAUCCAGGUGUGGAGGCUGCACGAGUGAGAAUGCAGGCAUGAGUAGCGAAAGACGAGUGAGAAACUCGUCCGCCGAAUGACCAAGGGUUCCUGGGCCAGGUUAAUCCGCCCAGGGUGAGUCGGGACCUAAGGCGAGGCCGACAGGCGUAGUCGAUGGACAACGGGUUGAUAUUCCCGUACCCGUGUGAACGCGCCCCUGGUGAAUCAGUGAUGCUAAGCGCCCUGAAGCCGCCUUCGAACCUUCGGGUUCUCCGGUGUGUGGAUGCGCGUGAACCGAUCUGGUAGUAGCCAAGCGAUGGGGUGACGCAGGAAGGUAGCUGAGCCAGUCAGUGGUAAUACUGGUGUAAGCGUGUAGGGCGUGACCUAGGCAAAUCCGGGUCACAUACAGCCUGAGACGUGAUGCGUAGCCGAUUGAGGCGAAUUCAGUGAUCCUAUGCUGCCGAGAAAAGCCUCUAGCGAGCUUUCACACGGCCCGUACCCCAAACCGACACAGGUGGUCAGGUAGAGAAUACUAAGGCGAUCGAGAUAACUGUGGUUAAGGAACUCGGCAAAAUGCCCCGUAACUUCGGGAGACUUCGGGAGAAGGGGGGCCUCGUCUGGUGACGGAACUUGCUUCCUGAGCUGGGUGGGGCCGCAGAGACCAGAGAGAAGCGACUGUUUACUAAAAACACAGGUCCGUGCGAAGUCGUAAGACGAUGUAUACGGACUGACGCCUGCCCGGUGCUGGAAGGUUAAGAGGACCGGUUAGCCAGUAAUGGCGAAGCUGAGAAUUUAAGCCCCAGUAAACGGCGGUGGUAACUAUAACCAUCCUAAGGUAGCGAAAUUCCUUGUCGGGUAAGUUCCGACCUGCACGAAUGGCGUAACGACUUCUAUUGCUGUCUCAACCACAGACUCGG